rnacentral:tRNA from 1 species
GCCCGGAUAGCUCAGUCGGUAGAGCAGAGGAUUGAAAAUCCUCGUGUCGGUGGUUCGAUUCCGCCUCCGGGCACC